rnacentral:rRNA from 1 species
UAGUCUACGCCGUAAACGAUGAUUACUAAGUGUUCGGACUUCGGUUUGAGUGCUCAAGCGAAAGCGAUAAGUAAUCCACCUGGGGAGUACGUCGGCAACGAUGAAACUCAAAGGAAUUGACGGGGGCCCGCACAAGCGGUGGAGCAUGUGGUUUAAUUCGAUGAUACGCGAGGAACCUUACCUGGGCUACAAUGCCUCUGCCAGCCGGUGAAAGCUGGUUUUCCUUCGGGACAGAGUGCAAGGUGCUGCAUGGUUGUCGUCAGCUCGUGCCGUGAGGUGUUCGGUUAAGUCCGAUAACGAGCGCAACCCACGUCGUCAGUUACAAGUGUCUGGCGAGACUGCCGGUGAUAAGCCGGAGGAAGGUGUGGAUGACGUCAAGUCAGCAUGGCCUUUAUGGUCCGGGCUACACACACGCUACAAUGGUCGAUACAAUGGGUAGCGAAGCCGCGAGGUGAAGCCAAUCUCGCAAAGUCGAUCUCAGUUCGGAUUGCAGG